GGGUUGUGAGGUUAAGCGACUAAGCGUACACGGUGGAUGCCCUGGCAGUCAGAGGCGAUGAAGGGCGUGCUAAUCUGCGAUAAGCGCCGGUAAGGUGAUAUGAACCGUUAUAACCGGCGAUACCCGAAUGGGGAAACCCAGUGUGAUUCGUCACACUAUCAUUAACUGAAUCCAUAGGUUAAUGAGGCGAACCGGGGGAACUGAAACAUCUAAGUACCCCGAGGAAAAGAAAUCAACCGAGAUUCCCCCAGUAGCGGCGAGCGAACGGGGAGGAGCCCAGAGCCUGAAUCAGCAUGUGUGUUAGUGGAAGCGUCUGGAAAGGCGCGCGAUACAGGGUGACAGCCCCGUACACAAAAGCGCAUGUGCUGUGAGCUCGAUGAGUAGGGCGGGACACGUGGUAUCCUGUCUGAAUAUGGGGGGACCAUCCUCCAAGGCUAAAUACUCCUGACUGACCGAUAGUGAACCAGUACCGUGAGGGAAAGGCGAAAAGAACCCCGGCGAGGGGAGUGAAAAAGAACCUGAAACCGUGUACGUACAAGCAGUGGGAGCACAGGUUUACCUGUGUGACUGCGUACCUUUUGUAUAAUGGGUCAGCGACUUAUAUUCUGUAGCAAGGUUAACC
rnacentral:rRNA from 1 species